GAUGAAGAACGUAGCGAAAUGCGAUACGUAAUGUGAAUUGCAGAAUUCAGUGAAUCAUCGAGUCUUUGAACGCACAUUGCGCCCCCUGGUAUUCCGGGGGGCAUGCCUGUCCGAGCGUCAUUGCUGCCCUCAAGCACGGCUUGUGUGUUGGGGCCUGCUGCACUGGCAGCCCUUAAAAUCAGUGGCGGCGCCAUCUGGCUCUAAGCGUAGUAAUUCUUCUCGCUAUGGAGUCCUGGUGGAUGCUUGCCAUCAACCCCCAAUUUUUCUAUGGUUGACCUCGGAUCAGGUAGGGAUACCCGCUGAACUUAAGCAUAUCAAUAAGCGGAGGA
rnacentral:misc_RNA from 1 species